rnacentral:rRNA from 1 species
UACGGGGGGGGCAAGCGUUGUUCGGAAUUACUGGGCGUAAAGGGCUCGUAGGUGGCCAACUAAGUCGGACGUGAAAUCCCUCGGCUUAACCGGGGAACUGCGUCUGAUACUGGAUGGCUUGAGUUCGGGAGAGGGAUGCGGAAUUCCAGGUGUAGCGGUGAAAUGCGUAGAUAUCUGGAGGAACACCGGGUGGCGAAGGCGGCAUCCUGGACCGACACUGACGCUGAGGAGCGAAA